UAAGGAAUAUUGGUCAAUGGGCGCAAGCCUGAACCAGCCAUGCCGCGUGCAGGAAGACGGCCCUAUGGGUUGUAAACUGCUUUUGUCAGGGAAUAAACCCCGCUCGUGAGCGGGGCUGAAGGUACCUGAAGAAUAAGCAUCGGCUAACUCCGUGCCAGCAGCCGCGGUAAUACGGAGGAUGCAAGCGUUAUCCGGAUUCAUUGGGUUUAAAGGGUGCGCAGGCGGAUUGGUAAGUCAGGGGUGAAAUCCCACAGCUCAACUGUGGAACUGCCUUUGAUACUGUCAGUCUAGAGUAUAGUUGAAGUGGGCGGAAUGUGUCAUGUAGCGGUGAAAUGCUUAGAUAUGACACAGAACACCGAUCGCGAAGGCAGCUCGCUAAGCUAUAACUGACGCUCAUGCACGAAAGCGUGGGGAUCAAACAG
rnacentral:rRNA from 1 species